rnacentral:misc_RNA from 1 species
GAUGAAGAACGCAGCGAAAUGCGAUAAGUAAUGUGAAUUGCAGAAUUCAGUGAAUCAUCGAAUCUUUGAACGCACAUUGCGCCCGCCAGUAUUCUGGCGGGCAUGCCUGUCUGAGCGUCAUUUCAACCCUCAUGCCCCUAGGGCGUGGUGUUGGGGAUCGGCCAAAGCCCGCGAGGGACGGCCGGCCCCUAAAUCUAGUGGCGGACCCGUCGUGGCCUCCUCUGCGAAGUAGUGAUAUUCCGCAUCGGAGAGCGACGAGCCCCUGCCGUUAAACCCCCAACUUUCCAAGGUUGACCUCUGAUCAGGUAGGAAUACCCGCUGAACUUAAGCAUAUCAAUAAGCGGAGGA